UGCCAGCAGCCGCGGUAAUACGGAGGGUGCGAGCGUUAAUCGGAAUUACUGGGCGUAAAGCGCGCGUAGGCGGUUAAUUAGGUCAGAUGUGAAAUCCCAGGGCCCAACCCUGGAACUGCCUUUAAAACUGUUAGUCUUGAGAUCGAGAGAGGUGAGUGGAAUUCCAAGUGUAGAGGUGAAAUUCGUAGAUAUUUGGAGGAACACCAGUGGCGAAGGCGGCUCACUGGCUCGAUACUGACGCUGAGGUACGAAAGUGUGGGGAGCAAACAGGAUUAGAUA
rnacentral:rRNA from 1 species